rnacentral:lncRNA from 1 species
AUGUGUGAUAUUGAGCGUAUGUUCCAUCAGUUUCACGUCAAAGCAGAGGACCAGGACUACUUGAGAUUUCUCUGGUGGGACGAUGGGAACUUCCAGGCUCAACCAUCUGUCUAUCGCAUGCGAGUGCACCUAUUUGGAGCUGCCUCCUCCCCUGGUUGUGCAAACUUUGGGUUGGAACAUGUUGCCGCCCAAGGACAUGGUCACUACAGUGAAACAACCAUUCAGUUCAUUGAACGAAACUUUUACGUGGACGAUGGGCUCACAAGUGUCGCAACCAAGGAUGAAGCCAUCAAGUUAGUAAAGGAAGCAAGGCAACUCUGCAGUGCUGGCAAACUGCGAAUUCACAAAUUCAUUUCCAACAAUCAUGAGGUACUUACAUCCAUUCCAGAGAGUGAACGUGCAGAUUCAGUACGAAAUCGUGACUUGGUUCUUGGUGAGUCCCAAAUUGAGAGAGCUCUGGGAAUCAAAUGGUGCAUUGUUUCAGACCAGUUCCGUUUCAGAGUGAUUGUGGAUGAGCGCCCACUUUCUAGAAGAGGAGUCUUAUCAACUGUGGCAUCCAUCUAUGACCCUCUUGGCUUUGUGGCACCAUUUGUUCUGGUUGGAAAGCAAAUACUCCAACAGAUGUGUCAAGACAAGGUUGGAUGGGAUGAGCCACUGUCAGAAGAGCUCAAACCACGGUGGGAGUCUUGGCUGUUAGAUUUAAAGAACCUGGCUGACAUCAAAAUUCAGCGCUGUUAUCUCCCAGAAGGUUUUGAGAAAGUUGAAAGAUAUGAGCUGCAUCAUUUCUCAGAUGCGAGUGUUAAAGGGUAUGGUGAAUGUUCUUACUUGAGAGCAAUCAGUGUUUCAAACCAAGUCCACUGCUCUUUAGUUAUUGGCAAAGCCAGGGUGACUCCUACAAAGGUCACCACAGUACCCAGGCUUGAGCUAUCAGCAGCAGUUAUUGCUGUGCGAACGAGUGACCUGCUUAAAAGGGAGUUGGAAGUUCAAGCCAAAGAAUUCUUCUGGACAGAUUCGAAGGUUGUUCUUGGAUACAUCAACAACGAUGCUAGAAGGUUUCACAUAUUUGUGGCAAAUCGUAUUCAGCGUAUCCAAGAAGGUUCCAAUCCAGACCAAUGGAGAUAUGUGACUUCUGAGAACAAUCCUGCUGACCAUGCAUCACGGGGUCUGACAGCAAAGGGACUAAUUACUUCCAACUGGUUCACUGGUCCAGAUUUUCUCUGGCAGGAUAAACUUCCUGCUGAUGACAUUAAGGUGGGAGAGUUGGGAGCUGAAGAUCUAGAACUUCGUAAGACUUUUGUCCAUAAGACACUGACCACAAAAGAUUCGUUGCUCAAUCAUUUCUCAAGGUUCUCAAACUGGAUAAGGCUAGUUAAAGCCAUUGCACGACUCAUGCGAUGUGUCAAAGAGCUCAAGGGUCUGAUGUGCAGAACAAACGAAGUCACCAGUCUUGAGGAGAGGAAAGAGGCAGAGUUUUUCAUCAUAGCUACUGUCCAAAACGAACUGUUUUCCGAAGAAAUCAAAGAUCUGAAAUUGAAGGAGACAAUAACAAGAGAUCGUGCAAAUAGGCUGCACAAACUGAAUCCCUUCUUGGAUGAAAAGGGUGUGCUAAGAGUGGGAGGUCGGCUGGAGCAUGCAGAUUUACACCCACACAUCAAACAUCCAGUGAUCCUGCCGAGCAAAACCCACAUAUCAAGGUUACUGAUUGAACACUUCCAUCAAAAGGUUCAUCACCAGGGACGUGGGAUGACUAUGAAUGAGCUGCGAUCAAAUGGCAUUUGGCUAUUAGGAUGUAGUCACGCAGUGUCUUCCUACAUCUACAAGUGUGUCAAAUGUAGGAAAUUUAGAAGGAAUGCUGAAGUACAAAGAAUGGCAGAUUUACCGCGUGAAAGAGUUGAAACAUCGCCUCCCUUUUCCUAUUGUGGAAUGGACUGCUUUGGCCUGUUUUACGUUAAGGAGGGAAGAAAGGAACUUAAACGCUACGGUCUGCUAUUCACAUGUCUGUGCUCUCGUGCUGUGCAUAUAGAGCUGCUCGACGACAUGACCAGUGAUCUUUAUUAA